UCUUUUCUCAGUAGUUUGGGGUGGGAAAUCUGAAAGAAGUCUCGGAUGAACAAUCUAUCAACUUCAAUGAUUUCUUCAUCUUUCUCUGUUUUCUUGGUUCCAAUCAGUUUCAAUUCAAGAACCCAUAAUGUUUCGGUUCCACUGAAAAGACUCCGUAUAGUUAAAUGUAUAGCCACUCCUCAAGAACAACAGACUGCUUACAA